rnacentral:rRNA from 1 species
CUUUCUUUGCUGGCGACCGGCGCACGGGUGAGUAACACGUAUCCAACCUGCCCUUUACUCGGGGAUAGCCUUUCGGAAGAAAGAUUAAUACCCGAUAGCAUAAUGAUUCCGCAUGGUUUCAUUAUUAAAGGAUUCCGGUAAAGGAUGGGGAUGCGUUCCAUUAGGUUGUUGGUGAGGUAACGGCUCACCAAGCCUUCGAUGGAUAGGGGUUCUGAGAGGAAGGUCCCCCACAUUGGAACUGAGACACGGUCCAA